rnacentral:lncRNA from 10 species
GCCCUGGCCUAAGACACCACAUGGGUCAUUUCUUCCAGGCUCCAACUUGCUUCUGCUUUGCCAUAUGGUAACACGCCGUAUUAUGGAAGCACCAUCAUUACCGCCAUUUGCAGGGGAAGCCUAAAGAGAUAAAUGCCAGCCAGCAUCCCUGUCUCUGGGGCCCUGGAGAGGCCUUCAACACACCUGGCCUCACUGCCCUGUGGCUUCAACAAAGAGGCCGAGCAUCUCCUAUAAACCUUGAGGUCCAUGGAUGACAUAGCGGAAUGAUGGAUUUCAGAAAAGCACACUGCUGUUACGACUCCAGAACCGAUAAGGAAGCUAUGUGUGGAAGUAUGAGCUCAGGUCGCCUUCUGACCCUCUGUGACGGUCUAUUUCAGGCAGUUAUGGAUAGAUAACAUUACAGACACUGAAAGAAAAACAAGAUGUCUGAG